rnacentral:lncRNA from 1 species
GCACUGAGAGUGCAAGUUCUUCAACCGAGUACUAUGCGUGCGAGAUCGGUCAGUAGACAUUAAGUGAGUAAAACAAGAUCCAUGUAAGACCUCGUAUGGAAUGAAGGCAUUGAUUUAAGAUGGUGGAUACGUUGUUAAGAAAUGAAUUCAUGUUAUAAAUGUGUUACGGAUUUAGUGUAGGGGAUGCUUGGUAUAUGAAGUCAUAU